rnacentral:rRNA from 1 species
CACCAGACUUGCCCUCCAAUUGAUCCUCGAUAAGGGAUUUAAAUUGUUCUCAUUCCAAUUGCCAGACCUACAAAGGCCCGGCAUUGUUAUUUAUUGUCACUACCUCCUUGUUCAAGAUUGGGUAAUUUACGCG